UACGUAGGGGGCAAGCGUUGUCCGGAAUCAUUGGGCGUAAAGAGCUCGUAGGCGGCUCAGUAAGUCGGGUGUGAAACCUCCAGGCUCAACCUGGAGACGCCACCCGAUACUGCUGUGGCUAGAGUCCAGUAGGGGAGUGUGGAAUUCCCGGUGUAGCGGUGAAAUGCGCAGAUAUCGGGAGGAACACCAGCGGCGAAGGCGCCACUCUGGGCCGGUACUGACGCUGAGGAGCGAAAGC
rnacentral:rRNA from 1 species